GGCACUCACCCGGGGGGUCUCGACAAGAGGCUGAGAUACUGCUGGCAUCCGUGCAGCGCAGUGACCCGAUGAACCUGAUCCAGUUCAUACUGGCGUAGGGAUGGUGCACUGGCCGCGCG
rfam:Pseudooceanicola batsensis HTCC2597 1099451005757, whole genome shotgun sequence.